rnacentral:rRNA from 1 species
AGAGUUUGAUCCUGGCUCAGAAUCAACGCUGGCGGCGUGCCUAACACAUGCAAGUCGAGCGAGAAAAGGGGAGCAAUCCUCUGAGUACAGCGGCGCACGGGUGAGUAACACGUGGGUAAUCUGCCCUGGAGUGGGGAAUAACACCGGGAAACCGGUGCUAAUACCGCAUACGAUAACGAGGUCUGCGGACUUUGUUAUGAAAGGAGCAAUUCGCUCUAGGAGGAGCCCGCGACUGAUUAGCUAGUUGGUGAGGUAAUGGCUCACCAAGGCUUCGAUCAGUAUCCGGUCUGAGAGGACGGUCGGACACACUGGAACUGAGACACGGUCCAGACUCCUACGGGAGGCAGCAGUGGGGAAUUUUUCGCAAUGGGGGCAACCCUGACGAAGCAACGCCGCGUGGGUGAUGAAGUAUCUCGGUACGUAAAACCCUUUCGACGGGGAAGAAAACCGCAAGGUUUGACGGUACCCGUAGAAGAAGCCCCGGCUAACUCCGUGCCAGCAGCCGCGGUA